GGGNUAAAGAGUGUGCAGACGGUUUAUUAAGUUGCUUGUUUAAUUCUUCGGCCUAACCGAAGGCUCGCAAGCAAAACUGGUAGACUUGAGGAUGGAAGAGAGAAGUGGAAUUCUCGGAGUAGCGGUAAAAUGCGUAGAUCUCGAGAGGAACACCAAUGGCGAAGGCAGCUUCUUGGUCCAUUCCUGACGUUCAUACACGAAAGCGUGGGGAGCAAACAGGAUUAGAUACCCUGGUAGUCCACGCCGUAAACGAUGAUCACUAGACGUCAGUUUCGUUUAACGAAAUUGGUGUCGUAGCUAACGCGUUAAGUGAUCCGCCUGGGGACUACGGUCGCAAGACUAAAACU
rnacentral:rRNA from 1 species